GAAGACACACUCAGCCACCCACCUCAUGGGACUGCUAUGAGAAUGACUGAAAUAAUUAAUUGUGAAGAGCUUUGUGCCCCUGGGAGUAAGAACACUAUUCUUUUUCCCAUUGGGUUCGACCAACUUCAUCCGACUUGAUCAAAUCCGAAGGAAAGUUCCAAAUUAUGGGGAACAAGGCUACUGAAGUGGCUAAAUUCUCAUAGACACACA
rnacentral:lncRNA from 1 species